rnacentral:misc_RNA from 1 species
GCCGAUCGAAGUGGAUCGCCAUCUCCUACUCCGCAGUAUCGAGACCGAUGGCGCGGGCCACCCGGUCGUAUAGUUCGUUGAAGGCCGGCGACGUCCGGCGCCGAGGCGGGAUAUCUUCCACGACGCACCCGGGAUUCGCCGACAUCACAAUGAGCCGGCUGCCAAGGACCAGGGCUUCGGCGAUAUUGUGGGUGACAAACAGGAUGGUCUGUGCACCUUGCUUCUGAAUAUCGAUCAGUUUGGAUUGCAGUGCAUAGCGGGUCAUGGCGUCGAGCGCGGCAAAAGGUUCGUCCAUGAGCAGGAGCGCAGGCUUGGUUGCAAGCGCCCGCGCGAUCGCCACCCGCUGCUUCAUCCCC